rnacentral:sRNA from 1 species
GUGAGGCUGGAAGUGUAGGGGAUUGUAAGUGCUGAUCUGAGGGCUGGCUCAUCUCAGUUAUCCUCCUGUCAUUGACAGCGUUUGGCAGCACAGUUCCAGUCUCCUGCUGAGUGGUAGGACACAAAGAAGUCUCCUGUAGGACGAACACAAGCAAGCUUCCCAUGUGGCCUGGCUGGAGCUCCAGUCCUCACAGCAUUGUCUGGAACCUUGGAUCAGCAACUGAUAAUGGGGUGUAUGGAAUCCAUGGAGACAUAGGGUAGGCAAGGCCCGCCAUGAAGGAUUGGAUGCCAGCCAGAUGAUGCCCGGCACUGUCUUGUGUUUUACCCUUAUGCAAUGUCUGCAACAGCCGAGUCAAUGAAUAAGAAGUCUGAGAGGUGACAUCGCCUAGGAAAUGUCAGGACAGUACCAUUUCCAAGCCCAUGGUCACUCUUGAGGACUUUCCCAGUUGUAUCAAGCUAGUUCAGCAAAUUCCUCUUGUCCAAACUUAAGUGCCAUGGAGAAAGGGGUUUUGUAACAGCGUGAAUCAAGGAGAAAACAGUGCCAGUGCCUUCAGAGACAGGGCCAGGUGGCUUGCUGGUACCCCAGCCCAAGGUUGGCAUUUCCUGUCACCUCGAAGCAGCCUCCCUCCCACACAGGGAUGUUAGAGGCUGCUGAAAAGCUCUGCUGGGCUUACACAGAAGCUGCUCUCUGAACUUCCUUAGCUGGCUGGAAACAGUCACCCCACCCUCUCCGGCCUCCAAUCCUCAGGAACAAGCCAAUGAGCAGGACAAUGCUGUCUGUAAAAAUCUGUUUAAUAAAUAUACAUCUUAGAAGUACCAAAAUAAUUACCAACAAAAUACACCAUAUACAACAUUUACAAGAAAGUGGUACAAAUCUCAGCUGGGGAUGACUUAAGCACAUACCACUGAACACCUGGUUCUUACGUGAGAGGGCACACUGGGGUCAGCUACAGUCUAUGGCGGUUCAACCAAAAGCACAAUAAAUAAAAUGUGGUCCUUUUAUCAGAUUCUGGAAAAUCACCUCAAAAAAAAAAAAAAAA